GUAGGUCACAAGCGUUGUCCGGAAUUACUGGGUGUAAAGGGAGCGCAGGCGGAAAGACAAGUUGGAAGUGAAAUCUAUGGGCUCAACCCAUAAACUGCUUUCAAAACUGUUUUUCUUGAGUAGUGCAGAGGUAGGCGGAAUUCCCGGUGUAGCGGUGGAAUGCGUAGAUAUCGGGAGGAAUACCAGUGGCGAAGGCGGCCUACUGGGCACCAACUGACGCUGAGGCUCGAAAGUGUGGGUAGCAAACAGGAUUAGAUACCCUGGUAGUCCACACCGUAAACGAUGAUUACUAGGUGUUGGAGGAUUGACCCCUUCAGUGCCGCAGUUAACACAAUAAGUAAUCCACCUGGGGAGUACGACCGCAAGGUUG
rnacentral:rRNA from 1 species